rnacentral:lncRNA from 12 species
AUGAUGUGUGCUUGCUCUUGUCUUGUCUUUGCACUCAAGGCAGAAGAUGCAGUGAAGGACCUAAGGUACAGCCUGGAACAUAGGUGCCGGGACUCUCGGGAGGCCGGCGACGGCCCGCGCCACAGGUGGCAUCCGGGGCGGGGCCUGCGCGCCGUCGGGCGGCGGGGGCGUGGCCUGGGCUCCGCGGCGGGGGCCUGGCCCCUCCCCAGAUGCCUCCGCGCGCCCGCCGCCCUCCAGCGCGCCAGGCUUCCCGAGCGCCCAGUGCGCAGGCGCCGGCGGGGGGCUCCGAGCGUGCGCCGAGAUGGAGCGCGGUCGGAGCGCGCGGCGGCGGUUGCCCCGCGGACUGACGGGAGGUCGGGCCGCCCGCCGUGUCGCCCUGCGCCUGCUGAACUCCGAGCGCCCGAGGAUGUCAGCGCUGAGGAAGGUCUGUAUGAGCUGUUGGCUCUUGUGCCAGGCCAGCUGGGGCCACGUGUGGACAGCCAGGAAGACCUGACCUUCCUCUGGGAUAUGUUUGGUGAGAAAAUCCUGCAUUCACUGGUAAAGAUUUUGGAAUCUGUUUUUAAGGUACGUUCAAUAUACUGCAGUUUAAGCCUAUUUAAGCCUACUAACAUUUAG